rnacentral:rRNA from 1 species
UACGAAGGGGGCUAGCGUUGUUCGGAUUUACUGGGCGUAAAGCGCACGUAGGCGGAUCGAUCAGUCAGGGGUGAAAUCCCAGAGCUCAACCCUGGAACUGCCUUUGAUACUGUCGAUCUGGAGUAUGGAAGAGGUGAGUGGAAUUCCGAGUGUAGAGGUGAAAUUCGUAGAUAUUCGGAGGAACACCAGUGGCGAAGGCGGCUCACUGGUCCAUUACUGACGCUGAGGUGCGAAAGCGUGGGGAGCAAACAGG